rnacentral:rRNA from 1 species
UCCUUCGAAGAGUCGAGUUGUUUGGGAAUGCAGCUCAAAAUGGGUGGUAAAUUUCAUCUAAAGCUAAAUAUUGGCGGGAGACCGAUAGCGCACAAGUAGAGUGAUCGAAAGAUGAAAAGCACUUUGAAAAGAGAGUUGAACAGCACGUGAAAUUGUUGAAAGGGAAGCGCUUGCAAGCAGACUCACCUGCGGUUGAUCAACAGGCCUUUUGGCCUGUGCACUCUGCCGUUUGUGGGCCAGCAUCAGUUGGGGCGGUGGGACAAAGGUUGCGGGAAUGUGGCUCUCUUCGGGGAGUGUUAUAGCCCGCUUCGCAAUGCCACCAGUCCCGACUGAGGUCCGCGGUUCGCCUAGGAUGCUGGCUUAAUGGUUGU